rnacentral:lncRNA from 1 species
CAGCGAUCUGUUUUGCCAAGUACAACCAAGUCCAUGUAUUUUAUUUUCUUUCCCUCUAUUUACAUUAGUUCUCUUAUGACCAGAGUCAUUAUUGCCACUAUUGAUUUUUCCUUUCUAUGUGAAAUGCAAUGUGACUAAGACAACCCUAUAUGAGACAAUGAUCCGGAUAAAAACCCAUACCAAUAGGAAAAAUCUGCCACACAGGCUCCUGCCACACAGGCCCUAAAACUUGCCACACAGGCUCUACUACAACACAUACCAAUGGGGAACAUCUGCCACACAGGCUCCUG